GUGCUGACGACAGAAAGAUGAAUAAGAUGCUGACUCUGUCCUCGAGGUACAUACAAUCCAGUGGAGACACACAGUCUUGUGCAUGAAUAAGAACAACAUGGCAAUAAUGAGCAACAGUGCCUUUGUGGGGCAAAGUCAUGUGGUGCCACUUCCAUCUGUUUUAUUAACAAACAGAACAUGGUCUCUUAAAAGAGGCUUUUCUGGAUGUGCUUUUUGUUUUUUUAAGUGCUGAAAGGUACCUAUAUUAUAUCCUUGAUUUUGUCUCAUGUCCUGAAAAGCCUAAAAUGUGGAUCUUUAUCAAAAAAGAAUGCCAAAUCUUGUUUUAAAACUGGAAUGCUGUGGAACACAAUGUUUCCCAGAGAGAAAUCCCUGAAAUUCUAUUCCCACUGAUCUUCAAUGCAGAAGAGGUACCAUGGUCAAAUGAAGGCCCUGACAAUUCCUGAAGUAAUAACAAAUUCACGACCACAAUCAAAUGAACGUGCAAAUCCAUUUCACUGUGUUUAACUGAAUGUUUUUCAAUAUCUGUGAAGACAGACUGUUCAUUGGAAAACAAUCCUCAAAAUGCACAUUGGGCCCUGGCCGUGAGCUGGGUUCUGUCUGGCACACUCCUGUGUUCUCU
rnacentral:lncRNA from 10 species